rnacentral:rRNA from 1 species
AUUGAACGCUGGCGGCAUGCCUUACACAUGCAAGUCGAACGGUAACGGGCCUUCGGGUGCCGACGAGUGGCGAACGGGUGAGUAAUACAUCGGAACGUGCCCGAUCGUGGGGGAUAACGAGGCGAAAGCUUUGCUAAUACCGCAUACGAUCUACGGAUGAAAGCAGGGGACCGCAAGGCCUUGCGCGGACGGAGCGGCCGAUGGCAGAUUAGGUAGUUGGUGGGAUAAAAGCUUACCAAGCCGACGAUCUGUAGCUGGCCUGAGAGGAUGAUCAGCCACACUGGGACUGAGACACGGCCCAGACUCCUACGGGAGGCAGCAGUGGGGAAUUUUGGACAAUGGGCGCAAGCCUGAUCCAGCCAUGCCGCGUGCAGGAUGAAGGCCUUCGGGUUGUAAACUGCUUUUGUACGGAACGAAAAGCCUUCUUUUAAUACAGGAGGGUCAUGACGGUACCGGAAGAAUAAGCACCGGCUAACUACGUG